ACUUCCUUCGGGAAGUGCAUAAAGUGGCGCACGGGUGAGUAACACGUAAGUAAUCUACCUUCGAGUGGGGAAUAACGUCCGGAAACGGACGCUAAUACCGCAUAAUGCAGCGGCAUCGAAAGAUGACAGUUGUUAAAGGAGCAAUUCGCUUGAAGAGGAGCUUGCGGCAGAUUAGCUAGUUGGUAAGGUAAUGGCUUACCAAGGCUACGAUCUGUAACCGGUCUAAGAGGACGGUCGGUCACACUGACACUGAAUAACGGGUCAGACUCCUACGGGAGGCAGCAGUCGGGAAUUUUGGGCAAUGGGCGAAAGCCUGACCCAGCAACGCCGCGUGAAGGAUGAAGUAUUUCGGUAUGUAAACUUCGAAAGAAUAGGAAGAAUUAAUGACGGUACUAUUUAUAAGGUCCGGCUAACUACGUGCCAGCAGCCGCGGUAAUACGUAGGGACCAAGCGUUGUUCGGAUUUACUGGGCGUAAAGGGCGCGUAGGCGGCAUGACAAGUCACUUGUGAAAUCUCCGGGCUUAACUCGGAACGGUCAAGUGAUACUGUCGCGCUAGAGUGCGGAAGGGGCAAUCAGAAUUCUUGGUGUAGCGGUGAAAUGCGUAGAUAUCAAGAGGAAUACCUGAGGUGAAGACGGGUUGCUAGGCCGACACUGACGCUGAAGCGCGAAAGCCAGGGGAGCAAACGGGAUUAGAUACCCCGGUAGUCCUGGCCCUAAACGAUGAAUACUUGGUGUCUGGAGUUUUUAGUGCUCCGGGUGCCGUCGCUAACGUUUUUAGUAUUCCGCCUGGGGAGUACGCUCGCAAGAGUGAAACUC
rnacentral:rRNA from 1 species